GGCCUCCUCUCCCAGUCAGCCCAGUGCUCCAUACUGGGUGUGUGUGCAGGCAGAGGAGGCAGAGCAGAGCAGUGGUACUGCCCAUUCCACCCUCAGCUGCAGAGUGGCUCUGUGGUGGAAGAGAUCCCUGCUACACAC
rnacentral:snoRNA from 11 species